GCAGUCUUAGUCUGGAGUGGCUGUACUUCAGAAGCAGAGUUCGUCAUCUACUAAUCGGUUGGUGGUUUGAUUCCUGCCUGCUCCUAGUCUGCAUGGCUUGGGCCACGGCACCACUGGGCAUCCAAGAUCAUCUUCACCUUCUGUCCCAGAGGGCAGUCAGCAAUGGCAAAACCAAAUCCACCAG